rnacentral:misc_RNA from 1 species
GCGGGGCGCGCGCUCCCCCCCCCACCAAAGAAGCAACUUGCUUCAAAAAAAUAGAUAAUUCGCGGGAUUCUGCAAUUCAUUCCAAGUAUCGCAUUAUGCUACGUUGUUCAGGGAUGCGAGAGCUGGGAUUCACGCCAAAAGACACUCCCAACCCACCCGAGGGGGAGGGACGUGGUGUUUGGUCCCCCGUGCCGCAGGGCGCGGUGGCAAGAAAAUGGGGCUGCCGGCGAAUCGUGUCGGGCACAGCACGUGGUGGGCGACACUCAGUUGUUCUCGGGGCAGCGCCCCGGCACGCGGCCGGCGCAUCGGCCCUAAGGACCCAAGGAGCACCGCAGCGCGUAGCCGCUCGGACCGCGAGCCCCAGGUCAGUCUGGCGACUACCCGUGAGUAUGCGGUUUUUUU